AAAAAAUCUAGCCCCUUCAUAUCAGUCUUCUUAACAUUUUCUCUCUCUAAAAAAACCCUGGCGAUACUGUGAUAGGGAGAAAGAGUAGGAGAAAAAAAGAAAAAAAAAAAGGACUGCUACAUGGAGAAAGGAGAAAGAGAGACUGAGAGAAAAGAGAGAUAGAGAAAUAGAGAGGCAGAGAAAGGAGAAGAAGAGAGAGAUUGAGAGAUCAAAAACUGCAGUUUGCAAACAAGAAUGAAAAGAUGUCUCUCACUUCCUGUCAAAUUUCUUCAUCUAACUGUCCGCUAAUUUCUUUCCUUGGAAUAAGAAGAAGUAAGGAAGAUGAAGCGUCAAGAACGAAGAGGAGUCAAGAAUGAAAUAGAGGGGCAGAGAUGGAGAGAAGGGCGCCACCCAGAUCUUCGGCCAUCACCGUAAGCCUCCACUCACUACCCGACUAUCGGAAUCAAAAUCGCUAUUGAUUCGGUUUUGAUUAAGGGAUACGGAGGUAGAAGAAGCAAGCAGAGUUUGUAGGCGCCAAGAGAGAAGAAAUAUCUAUGGCUGGCCAUUACCUGUUCCCUCGCCAGACUUGGGCCAUCGGAACCGCAAGCACACAUGAAGGAAAAACUAUGACCAUACGCCACCCUUAUCGUCGGAAUUGGCACCGGUCUUUCUGCCGGAACAUCAUACACCCAGAUAGAGUCCGUAAGGCACAGAGAGACAGGCUGCCGUAUACCUGUAACCGGUGGUGUGUACAUGGGAAAAAGGGAUUUUGACUCUGAUAUAGAAUGCUUCAGGUUUUUUCUAAGUCUGGUGUUAUUAAUGGCAAGGCACUGUUGAUAGGCUUGAUUGUUCUGUUUCUAAACAUAAUAAUAGCUGUUUGUUCAGGAGGCAUUCUAUACUGUUGGUAUUGGAGUUUGGAUAAGGAAUGCAACUGAUGUCUAUUUUUCUUAAAUGGCACUCUGUUUUUGUUAGAGAGGUUCUGAGGGUCCCAUGGUCUAGAUUUUUGAUGAUUAUGUGGAAAUACGAUAUUGUUUUCUCUACAAGAUUCCAGAAAUUAUCAUGUAGCUUUCUAUUUCUGUUGUUGCACUUGAUGUGAUUAAUCAGUGCUUACCUUUGGAAUCCUGAUGUGUUGUUGCAUUGUUA